UUUGUACUCCCUCCGUCCCAAAAUUCUUGUCUUAAAUUUGUCUAAAUACGGAUGUAUCUAGUUACAUUUUAGUGUUAGAUACAUCCGUAUCUAAACAAAUUUAAGACAAGAAUUUUGGGAUGGAGGUAAUACUAC
rnacentral:pre_miRNA from 1 species